CCCGGCAUGGGGGUGAAGCGGAGCCUUCAGAGCGGUGGCACCCUACUGGGUUUCUUGGCCAACAUCUUCAUGCUUCUCUCCACUGCCACCAACUACUGGAUCCGCUUCCCAGGGGGACACAGCGGCCUGUGGCAGGAUUGUAACGGUGGCAUCUGCUCUAACAACCCCUGCCAGAGUGAGGCCCAGCCCAACCAGAUGUCAAACCCCCACUACACAGACCCAGAACUGACCACAGCUGUCCACCCUCCCCUGACACAACUGGGAACAUCCUGCGGGGGAGGGGGGGGGGAGGGGGCGUUCAAUCCCUUCCACGACGGUCUCAGAUCCAGCUGCCCCUCCGUGAUCGAAGCCACCACGAACACGACAAGCCCUCAGGACGACUUUCAAGUCCCUAUCCAAACCCCUGACUCUGCGGCCAGCCGGUACCGGCUGGUGGGGGCGGUGGUCAGGCAGGGCGUCUGCGCGGGGCUGAGGCAGCCGGCUCUCCCCAGCCAUGCUGGCGGUGACCCGGGCAUGCAUGGUGCUGGCGGCGGGCUCCAGCAUCGUGGGCCUGGUGAUGGGGCUGCGGAUUGUGUGUCACGAGGGCGACUCUCGGGGCCGGACUACGAGCGCUAUCUUCUUCCUCUGCGGUGAGACACCAGCAAGCCUCGGGACAAAGGGCAGGGGUCCGCAGGAAGUGAGCUGAGGGGAGGAGGUGGUGACCAAGAAGGGUGGGCGGAGCUGGAAGGGGAGGGGUCAAGGGCGGGCCCGCAGGCGAUGGGCGUGGUCUUGUCUGGCGGGGGCCGCCCGGAAGGGGCGUGGUCUGGGCGGGGAGCGGGGUUCUGGGUGGGGCCUAGGUGCAGCCUCUCCCGGCCAUGCUUACCUAGCGGGUGGGCGGGGCCAGGCUUGCUGCUGCUGAUUGCUUUGACAGGCUACACCGUAAAGAAUGCGUGGAAAAGCGACGUCUUCUUCUCCUGGUCCUAUUUUUUGGGGUGGCUGGCUUUACCAUUCUGUAUUCUCGCCGGCUUCUGCUUCCUGAUGGCGGACAUGAUCGUGCAGAGUACAGAUGCCAUCGGUGGGUUUCCCGUGUGCUUGUGACAGCAGCCUGCCUGGGGCAGAAUAAAGGAACAGGUCGACCUCC